rnacentral:piRNA from 1 species
GUGUUGGGAAAUGGCUCUGCAGC